GCGGGCUAAACCCUUAUACAAUCUCUUUUCUCCUUCUUUAUUUCUUCAUCUCCCUUAGGGUAAGGCGGACUAAACCCUGUCAAGGAGAUGAAAGAGAUCAGACGCCGUAAACACACGAGUGAAGAUUUGAAGUCUUUAUAGGCACGAACAAUAGGUUUUGGGAGGGUAUUUGGAUUGAAGAUGGUACUCUUAAAUCCAAUUUUUUGCUCUCUUUCCCCUGCGAUAAGGGAAAUAACAAAGACUCCACAGUUUGCAAUAUGAGGGCUAUGAAUAAUGGAAAAUUGGAAUGGAACCUUAACAUCUCUAGAAGGGUUCACAAUAAUGUUAUUGAGGAAAUUUCUGGCCUUCUUCCUAAACUUUCCUGGAAUGGCAAUAAGAAUUUGGGGCGUGGGAAAAGAUCAUCUAUAACUGCUAUUAGUUUGCUGUGUAACUGUGUGUUUCGGUUGAAGUCUUGAAGUAGGCUUUUAUACCUUGUUUCCUGUUUUUUCUUGGACGUCAGGCUGAUGCCAUCUGUCAGAUAUUUUUUCUUGGUGUUGUUUGUA